rnacentral:lncRNA from 1 species
AUGGCUUGCCUGCGCUCUGUGCCAACGAGGAGGAAUUAUAGCGCAUCCAUCUGUUCUGUGAUGUUCAUUCUGAUUUUUAUACUCGGAUGCCAGCAGAGAUCUCACUGUGCAUCUGCAACCCUUCAGGCUGGUCCUCAUGUAAAGCAUAAAGCUCUGCUGGAAACACUGCGGUUACCUCACAACACAGGUGAGAGCCUUACAGUUACCUACCAGACGUGAUUGUCAGCUGUCAGUCACAGUUGCAUUAUAUGAGCAGUUUAUUGAUAUUGCAUGAUUAAUUUAGAUUUCCCUCCAAAAAAUUAAAAGAAAGCAACUCAAAAAUAUAUUUGUAAGAGAUCGAAUUUAUUGCUGUUGCACAGUCCAUACGGGAUUUGGUCGGCAGGGGGCGCUAGAUAUCCUAAUUAAUCGGAGACCUAUGACAAAUGCACCUUAAAAUACACGCUAAAAACGGUUGUGUUGAGGUGAUUAUGCGGUUUAAUAAUAAUAAUAAUAAUAAUAAUAAUAAUAAAUGCAUUAAUAAUAACACUGCACUUUGUUUCUUGUGGUGACAUUUAAUACCUACAGUGUUAGCAAAACCUGACACCCAUCACCCAUGCAAGCUUUGUAAAUGAGGAUAUAAAAAUAAAAAUAGCACCACAAAUUGUUUUUAUAUAAAGCUAAUUAUACUAAUCCAAUGGUAUGGUUACAGAUUAAUCCAAAACCUUCUCCUUAAAGAAGACUAAACUAAAUUAUAAAAAAAUACAUGUGUAUUUCAUAUGAAUCAUUUGUUCCAACCGAGUGUGUCCCCAGAUGUCCCCAAAAGGAGGUUAUGUUUGACGCUUCUGCGGACAAUUUUGGACAUGCGCACACACACACACACAGACAGAAGGAGGGGUGUGUAGCAUAAAGAUUGGCAUGCACUGGGACUUAGUGAACAAUGAACAAAGGCAGACACUUGAAGAAGCUCUCCAUCAAUCAGCCAAGCUUUACAAACAGUCUCUGUGUGCACUGCCUUAAUCCUGUGAAGAGUUUCUACACUGUUUGGCAUGAGCUUAGAGACUGAAGUAGCCAGAUAUAAUAGUGUGUGUGUGUAUAGUAGUGUGUGUGUGUGUGUGUGUGUGUGUGUGUGUGUGUGUGUGUGUGUGUGUGUGUGUGUGUGUGUGUGUGUGUGUGUGUAGAGAGAGAGAGAGAGAGAGAGAGAGAGAGAGAACAGAAUGAGAGAGAGAGUGAGAGCGAGAGCGUGUGUCUCCAUAUCUCAGCGGAGCAUUAAGAGUGUGUGUCAUCAGUGUGUGUCUCACCCAUGCUCAGAGAUCAUAAAUCUGUCAGCUCAUGUCUGUAAAAGCAUUUAUAACUUGAGCCACCAGACCACCGCGAGGAUGAGAGGAGCACAACAUUAAAACACGUCCUCUGACCUUCACCCUGUGAGCAGCAUCUCCAUGGACCUUCCUAUAAAUCACUUCAGCUUGCAUUUGUACAGUUACUUAUUUUAUGCCAGAACAACAGUGCAUUUGCUAGAUAUGGCAUUUUUAUCCUGAUGUGAAUCAUUAAAUGAUAAAUAACUUUUUAAUGUUCUCAGUUCAUCCCCUUUAAGAUCUGACUAUUGGUGUUGGUGUUGAAACAAUUUUCACUCAGAAAUUCCUAGUAAAUUUCGCAA